rnacentral:rRNA from 1 species
AGUUGAUCCGUGGCGUACGAGGACGAACGCUGGCGGCGUGCUUAACACAUGCAAGUCGAACGAUGAACCGGAGCUUGCUCCGGGGAUUAGUGGCGAACGGGUGAGUAACACGUGGGCAACCUGCCCCAGACACCGGGAUAACCUUCCGAAAGGAUGGCUAAUACCGGAUACGACCACUUCGGGCAUCCGACGGUGGUGGAAAGGAUUCUGGUCUGGGAUGGGCCCGCGGCCUAUCAGCUUGUUGGUGGGGUAAUGGCCUACCAAGGCGACGACGGGUAGCCGGCCUGAGAGGGCGACCGGCCACACUGGGACUGAGACACGGCCCAGACUCCUACGGGAGGCAGCAGUGGGGAAUAUUGCGCAAUGGGCGAAAGCCUGACGCAGCGACGCCGCGUGAGGGACGAAGGUCUUCGGAUUGUAAACCUCUUUCAGCAGGGACGAAGCGAAAGUGACUGUACCUGCAGAAGAAGCACCGGCUAACUACGUG